UACGUAGGGUGCGAGCGUUAAUCGGAAUUACUGGGCGUAAGGCGUGCGCAGGCGGUUCGCCAAGUCUGUCGUGAAAUCCCCGGGCUCAACCUGGGAAUGGCGAUGGAGACUGCAAGGCUAGAGUUUGGCAGAGGGGGGUAGAAUUCCACGUGUAGCAGUGAAAUGCGUAGAUAUGUGGAGGAACACCGAUGGCGAAGGCAGCCCCCUGGGUCAAAACUGACGC
rnacentral:rRNA from 1 species